UAAAAGAAAUGUUCUGUUUCAGAGAGCACUGAAUAUCGGCUUGCGGAACUUGAGGGUGUGUCUUAACGGCAUAAAUUCAAGUAGAACAUCAGCUUUGAUAGGAUUACGGACCUCAGGAGUACGAAUUGUCUCGAUUUCUGAGGUAAUUAAGAUACCUCACAAUGGCUGCCGCCCAAAGCGUCGCCCCAGGAAGUGAAUGACACAUGACAUGAAACUCAACUGAUAUCUCUAUUCCUGUCAAAAGGUGAUCAUCAGUGACUCUUGCAUCAGAUCUAUAAUUAGUGUUCCAUGACGGACAGUAUUCAUGGUUACAAAACAUUCAGCAAUGUCAUCGUUUCUGUAUGAUGGACAUUAAAUUUUUUUUAAAUGUG